rnacentral:rRNA from 1 species
UUCGAUGCAACGCGAAGAACCUUACCUGGUCUUGACAUCCCGGAGACCCUUAGGAAACUAGGGGUGCUUCCAUCUGGAAGAAUCUGGAGACAGGUGCUGCAUGGCUGUCGUCAGCUCGUGUCGUGAGAUGUUGGGUUAAGUCCCGCAACGAGCGCAACCCUUGCCUUUAGUUGCCAGCAGUUCGGCUGGGCACUCUAAAGGGACUGCCGGUGUUAAACCGGAGGAAGGUGGGGAUGACGUCAAGUCCUCAUGGCCUUUAUGACCAGGGCUACACACGUACUACAAUGGCCGAUACAAAGGGCAGCGACACUGCGAGGUGAAGCCAAUCCCGUAAAAUCGGUCUCAGUCCGGAUUGGAGUCUGCAACUCGACUCCAUGAAGUUGGAAUCGCUAGUAAUCGUGAAUCAGAAUGUCACGGUGAAUACGUUCCCGGGCCUU